UACGGGGGGGGCAAGCGUUGUUCGGAAUUACUGGGCGUAAAGGGCUCGUAGGCGGCCAACUAAGUCAGACGUGAAAUCCCUCGGCUUAACCGGGGAAUUGCGUCUGAUACUGGAUGGCUUGAAUCCGGGAGAGGGAUGCGGAAUUCCAGGUGUAGCGGUGAAAUGCGUAGAUAUCUGGAGGAACACCGGUGGCGAGGGCGGCAUCCUGGACCGGCAUUGACGCUGAGGAGCGAAAGCCAGGGGAGCAAACGGG
rnacentral:rRNA from 1 species